GUCGGACAAAGUAUCGGAUUUACUGGGCGUAAGCGUGCGUAGGCGGCUUAUUAAGUCGGAUGUGAAAUCCCCGAGCUUAACUUGGGAAUUGCAUUCGAUACUGGUGAGCUAGAGUAUGGGAGAGGAUGGUAGAAUUCCAGGUGUAGCGGUGAAAUGCGUAGAGAUCUGGAGGAAUACCGAUGGCGAAGGCAGCCAUCUGGCCUAAUACUGACGCUGAGGU
rnacentral:rRNA from 1 species